UCCAGCUCCACGGCCAUUGAUUGGCGUGAGUGUUUAUCCAGGGCAUCUGAAAGGGUGAAGACCUUUAUGCAUUCUGGGCAGCGAUGGUUCUGCUUGAGAUUGUGUUUAUGUUCAUGUUGGUCAAAAUUUUCCUUUCUAUGAAAGACCUUUCACAACUAGAUUUUUCCAAUGAUUUAGCUGGCUCAUUUUUCGCUCCAAUAGUAUGUUUAAUACAUGCAUCAUACAUACCAUUAUCCCUCAAGUUUCUGUAAGAUGUUUUGCACAGUAUGAGUAAAUGUGUUUAUAGCUAUAUGAGGUAACCCUGUCCUAUUAAGUGUAAGUCAUUGACGUAUCUCAACACAACGCGACAAGGGAGGUCAUGGUGCCUCUCAAUAAGAUACAGUUCAUUCUUAGUAAAUAAUGUUUUCUGCAUUUUCUGUUUAAUCAGUCAUUGUAUUAUAACCCUUUUGAAAAGGGCUCCAAAAAGAGGUUCUUGGCGUAUACAGUGCCAAGUGCUCAGCAUUAUUAUUUAAUAACUAUUUUUCGCGUAUUUUACCUAUUUGGCCUUGAUAUUUAUAGAAGUACAAAAGUGGAGUGAUAUUCGUUCAAUAUGCAGCAACACAGCUUCUAAACGCCAGCUCCAUAACUUAUCGGUGGUGCACUGAAAAUGAACUUUGUUCUAAAGUAUGACAGAACCUGUACAAGCAUGCAGUUAAUCUAAUUGACCGAAUACGGUAAGAGAUCAUUUCCCCGCGAAGAGAUAUUUCAUCAGACUUGAAUCAUUACUUCGGGGACGAUGGACUCUCUCAGUUUGAAUGGAUGGAAGACCAGAUGGCUACUUCUAUUCAUUAUCUAUGUGCAAUAUUCUACGCAGAUCGAUUUCUGCUUUUCGAUAGGUGUUCUGUUUCCUUACUUGUCAGACAAGUUCCAGCGGAAUAGGAAAGAUACCGUCCUUGUACAGUCAGUAACCACAAGUGUGCUCCUUUCAUCAGGUAUUAUAUUUGGACAGAUGAUUUGGACUCUUUAAAUUAUCAUUUGUUCCAAUUAUCUUUUGUCCUGUGGGAUUCAUUCUAGCAUAUUUUGCUUCGGAAUUGUGGCAUCUUUACAUUUGUAUCGGCACUAUAGGAGGCAUCGGAUUUUCAUGUACGAAUGUGUUAGCCUAUACCGCCGUUGGUUUUGCCUUCGUUGGAAGAAAAAGGAGUCUCAGCAUUGCAAUUCUCGCUACUGGGACUGGUGUUGCUGGAAUCUGUUAUCCCUAUUUCAUGAAAUGGGUCGCCGAAACAUACAGAGUACAGCGUUGUUUCUUUUACGUCGGCCUCUUAUUUCUUUCUUCGAGUGUGCUGUCGUUUGUAUUUUACACGGAAAGUAUCAACGCAAGCCCACAGAGCAAUCAUGAACCGAACCCCGAUGAGAAAAAGAAAAAAACAUUUGGCGAAGAUUACUUACUACAUUUGUAAUGGAAUUGAACGAAGUACUUAUCGUAGAAUUUUUGUUAAAUGUGGUUGCCACAUGUAUUAUUAUUGGAGCAAUAAAUGGAACGGUUUUUUCUCUUCAAAUGGACAUCGCUAGGUGGAAAUCGUUAUCUGACUGGGAUGGAAUCUUUGUUUUUAAUAUCAUGAACAUUGCUAAUAUAAUUGCUGGUUUCUUGCCAGGUGUUUUGAAGCAGGUUCGUGGUUGCAGUAUAAGUUACUCCUUUAUUCUUGCUGGAGCCACAGUUUAGGGAAUCGAAGGGUAUAUUGUAAUAACUUUAGCCACAACCCGCACGUGGUAUCUAGCUGGAAACGCACUAAUAGGAUUGCAACUUGGAGCUGUAAUAUCCACGACAAUGAUCUCCCUCAAACAUAUUGAAAAAAGCACUUGCCGUUUGCUUCAAGCAUUGUGAUAACUUGCAAUGGCCUUGCGUCAAUAGGAACUGCACCUCUGUUUGCUCAUAUUCGGGAUGUAACGAUGGAAUAUAAUCCGGUUUUGUAUGCGUCAAUUACCCUUAAUACAGUUGGGUUGACCUUAUAUGUAUUGGCAUUUGUGUGCAGGAGAAGAACAUCCCCUGAAUACAUCAGCAAUAUUAACAUAUAUACUGUAGAACCGCAACCUAUGGUGUCAGCUGUUUCUUUGGAGACAGGACUUACUUUAUCUGACAUAGAUGUUUGAUUUUCAAAUGACUUUGUUUGUUGAGUCUAAAGCAUUCAUUACUCUCUUUUUCAGUAUAAUUAUGAUUUUUGUUUUGCCAGUAAAAUACGAAUUGUUAGUUUGGUGCAAGAACUUUAUUCCAUUUGUCACUGCCUGUA